rnacentral:rRNA from 1 species
AUCCGGAAACGGGUGCUAAUACCGCAUAGUUUCUUGAUCGCAUGAUCGGGAAAGGAAAGACGGCCUUUGUGCUGUCGCUUAUGGAUGGACCCGCGGCGUAUUAGUUAGUUGGUGAGGUAACGGCUCACCAAGACGAUGAUACGUAGCCGACCUGAGAGGGUGAUCGGCCGCAUUGGGACUGAGACACGGCCCAAACUCCUACGGGAGGCAGCAGUAGGGAAUCUUCCGCAAUGGACGAAAGUCUGACGGAGCAACGCCGCGUGAGUGAAGAAGGGUUUUUUCCGGGAUCGUAAAACUCUGUUGUCAGAGAAGAACAAGUUGGAGAGUAACUGCUCCAGCCUUGACGGUAUCUGACCAGAAAGCCACGGCUAACUACGUGCCAGCAGCUGC